AUGGAUUUCAUGACACAUUUUGUAGUUUGAAUCCAACUUUACAUAUCAGUCUUUAGGUAUGUCAAACUGAGGCGUCUGCAUGGUUACAUUUGCUUAAAAAAAUAAUCAGCUUUCGAUUAGUUUGCUUGUAGCAAAUUUCCCUUUUUCCAUUUUCCUUUGGAUGGUUAAAGGAAGCUUAUGCUAAUUACUGUGAGUGAAGCCUGUAUGUUGACUUUGUCUUUCCCUCUACAGGCCUUUCAAGUGGAAAUUGUUUUGUUUUUUGUUUUUUUCAGUAAACUGAAAUAUAAGCUGAAAUUAAGCAUAUUUCCUUCUUAUUUAAAAAUCUUGAUGCUUUUUGUCCACAGGUGUGGAAAAACAGAUCACAGAGCUUCAACCCAACUGCACUGAACCAAACACACACCUCUGUGGGUCAUCAUGUUACAAUCCAAAGGAAAGUCAGUGCUGUGAGAGAAAUCAAAAGCCUCACUGGUUCUGUGCCUCAGGUCUAAGCAAGACGACACCAACUGUGUAUAACCCACGCACACAAGUCUGUUGUGAUGGAUGUGUAUCUGCGUGGAAGCCUUGGAUAGAUCAAUGCUGUGGAGAGACGCCGUAUGGCUCGGCACAACGUGGAGUUCUGUGUUGUAAUAAGAGCUUGUACGAGGGCAGAGAUGAUGGAGAGGAAUGUUCAGAGAUGGGUAUUCCUUACAACCCGGCUAAAGGGACCAUGUGUUGUUCUCAGUUUCAUGGCAGCCCAGGACAACACUGCUGUGGGACAGAAAUUUACCAGCCUCAUCUGAGAUCUGCUGCAAUGGACACAGGCAUCUCAAAUCAGAAAACAUUCACUGCUGUGGGGUCAAAGCCUACAACAUUAAAGACCCACAGAUGAAGUGCUGUGCAGGAACACUGUACAAUCUGACAUUGUUAGAUGAGCAUGGAGGGGAUGCACAAUGCUGUGGAUCCAUUCUGCAAAGGCCACAGGACAUUUGCUGCUCAAGUGAGGACAAAGAGGUGCUGUACUCUGCCAAGACAGGGUUUAGCUGCUGUGGUCACCUCUACUAUAACACCAGCCUGUGGUCAUGCUGUGCCGGGAGGCUGAGAUCAAUCCAUGAAGCAGGACAGGAUCAGAGAAAGAUGAUAAAAGAAUCCAGAGUUCUAUCUGUGAAUAAUUUGAAUAAAGCUAAUCUUUGCAGAGUGUACAUUGGGGCUGUGGAAAGUGUCUCUCUGCAGAGCGUUGUGUUCAGGAAUGUUUUGAAGGUCUAUGGGAUGCAGGCCAAAGUGAAAGCUCUGCCUUUGCCCUACGUCCUGGAAACAAAUGAUCGCUGUAGCUAUCCUAAACUGAUUCCUGGGAAGACCUACUUCUUUAACAAAGACAAUAUUUUCACUGGUUUCAUCGAUGAUUCUUUUCUGCAGCCACUCCAUUUCAUUAUUUCCAAGUGUUCACCUAGGAUCACCACUCACCGAAAAUCAACCAAUAUGCCUUUUGCAUACUGAGCACUCACACUAAAGCUGAGUGUAUGCUGACACCAGCCCAGCAGCUAGACCCUGAACUUCAAAAUGUAACAAAGGCAAUAAUGAACAGAUAGGCUGGUAGCAUUAUAACCUUCACUUCUAAAUGUACAUGUUUCUAAAACAGAUAUAUUGUGGGGAUUACUUUGUCUUUGAGAUGGUUUUUAAUGUUGCUCUCUGUAGCUUAAGAUUCAAAUCUAAUUUUCAAUAUAAGGACUGUUUUUAAUACUUUAUGGAAUCCUUAAAAUGUCAAUCUUUUCAGGACUGUGUGAACUCUUUGGGACUUGUAUAUUGGACAAUUGAUAGGCAUGCAGCUUUAUGGCCAAAUGAAGCCUGUUUCCUCAUUGUUGCAAACAAAGCAGAUAAAUGAUCUUGAGUUUAUUCUAUGUGUUGAAUGUGGCUUUGAUAGAUUUACAGUGGAGCUCUCAAUGUAAAUCUAUCAAACAGUGAACUUUCUUUUUAAUAUUCUGCUUUUUAAGCAGCCUUUAAUGUAUGCACCACAGAAUAACUGUGGUGCAUAAAGUAGAUAUUUGAAGCAAUAUUGAUGCAACAGAGUUCAGUGGGGAGUCAAUCUUUCAUUGUGUGAAUUUAUAGAUGAAAAUUAUGUGUAAAAUGAAAAUUAAACCAGCUUCAUCUCAAAGAAUAAAUGAAUUAACUUCC